rnacentral:snRNA from 1 species
GGAUGUGAGGGCGAUCAGGCUGUGACAUCUGUUACCCCAUUGAUGGCCAGGGUAGAUUUGGCUGAGCUGGCUGGCUAGGCGAUGUCCCCUUCCUCCUUUACUCCUUCCAUGUGUGUCCCUCCUGAAGCUGCACGCUCGGUCGAAGAGGAUGACCUUCCCCAAAUAGAGGAAGACCGGUCUUCGGUCAAGGGUAUACGAGUAACUAUCUGGCUGUACAUUCUGGAAGACCUGAACUGGUUCUCCAA